GGGAUGACACAGUAGGAUAAGCUAAGCACACUGUUGGUUAUGUGUGCCCAAGCAUUGAGGCAGUCAAAGUAGGCAAAUCCGCUUUGAUAAUGCUGGGCUGUGAUGGGGAGCGAAAUUUAGUAGCGAAGUAGCUGAUUUCACACUGUCAAGAAAAGUCUCUAUCGAGGUUAAAGGUACCCGUACCGCAAACCGACACAGGUGGGUGAGGAGAGUAUCCUAAGGCCA
rnacentral:rRNA from 1 species